GUGAACUCUUCACUCCAGUGCCUGCACUUUCGACCUCUGUAGUCGACCCAGCUGCCCAGUCUCUACCUCACCUGAUCCGGUAUAUUCUCCCCCACCCUCCAAAUCGCACAACCGCCUUCUGCCAGCCUCAGCCCUGUCCACCACCUUCAGCCAUCUCCUCCUCCGAGGACCCCUUAGACCGCAGAGGCUGCUGUUGUUGCUUUAGUUGUGCCACAACCACGUGGUCCUGGAAACUGCCUCGCUCACUUUGUCUGCCUUUGUAUCUGCUGGCAUGGAUCUUGUCACCAUGUCAUGACACUAUAUCCAAGUAUCCAGCUCUGCCCUGUACUCAGAAGAAUUUGGUCCCUGCCUUCAAGAAGUUUGACUGUGAAGGCCUUAUUGUUCGCUCUGCCACCAAGGUGACCGCUGAUGUCAUCAACGCAGCUGAGAAACUCCAGGUGGUGGGCAGGGCUGGCACAGGUGUGGACAAUGUGGAUCUGGAGGCCGCAACAAGGAAGGGCAUCUUGGUUAUGAACACCCCCAAUGGGAACAGCCUCAGUGCCGCAGAACUCACUUGUGGGAUGAUCAUGUGCCUGGCCAGGCAGAUUCCCCAGGCGACGGCUUCGAUGAAGGACGGCAAAUGGGAGCGGAAGAAGUUCAUGGGAACAGAGCUGAAUGGAAAGACCCUGGGAAUUCUUGGCCUGGGCAGGAUUGGGAGAGAGGUAGCUACCCG
rnacentral:sRNA from 1 species